rnacentral:rRNA from 1 species
AGUGAACGCUGGCGGUAGGCCUAACACAUGCAAGUCGAACGGCAGCACAGGAGAGCUUGCUCUCUGGGUGGCGAGUGGCGGACAGGUGAGGAAUACAUCGGAAUCUACCUUUUCGUGGGGGAUAACGUAGGGAAACUUACGCUAAUACCGCAUACGACCUACGGGUGAAAGUGGGGGACCGCAAGGCCUCACGCGAUUAGAUGAGCCGAUGUCCGAUUAGCUAGUUGGGGGGGUAAUGGCCCACCAAGGCGACGAUCGGUAGCGGGUCUGAGAGGAUGAUCAGCCACACUGGAACUGAGACACGGUCCAGACUCCUACGGGAGGCAGCAGUGGGGAAUAUUGGACAAUGGGCGCAAGCCUGAUCCAGCCAUACCGCGUGGGUGAAGAAGGCCUUCGGGUUGUAAAGCCCUUUUGUUGGGAAAGAAAUCCUGUCGAUUAAUACUCGGUGGGGAUGACGGUACCCAAAGAAUAAGCACCGGCUAACUUCGUGCCAGCAGCCGCCGUAACAC